AAGAUGAUAUCCAACGUUGCUGGCGCAAUCUCACGCCCGCGGAUCUUCGCCUCAAUCUCCCACCGUGGCUGCCUUCCUUCUGGCACGGCAGGCUCGACUCGGCCUCUGAACCUGGGAGGUGGUAGGUCGAGGAACGCACACAGUGCCGCCAAAGGGGCACCGAAUAACUGCUCGUCGUCCGUGGAGGGGUAGUAGAUGUGGGUAAACGGUGGUACGUUGCCAAAGGGUGGUGGUGGGCUUUCCAUCUGUAGAAAAUAAGAAGAAAAGGUAAAGAAGUAUCAGUGGUCAAAAGGUCAGAAGUAAGUAAAAUAAAAUAAAAGAUAGUAGAGUGGAUAAAGUGAUAAGGAUUAAAAUUAAAGGUGGAAUUGCAAAUAUAAAAUUGGAUGCAUGAUGAUAUGUGUAUAACAUGGCAACAUGAUUAUAGUGGUGGUUGGUAUAAUAAAGGAAUAUGCAUCGGUGGUAUAAUAAAAAAAAAUGCAUCUGUAGUACGAGGUAUGGUGUUUGGUCUAUAUGUAAAAUAAAUCAACGAACAUGUCAUGCAUAUGUAAGAUAUAAAUGCAAUGAUUUAGAUGAAUAGGCAUAAGGAGUAAAAUAGAUAUAUAUAUAGAUC
rnacentral:lncRNA from 1 species